AUGAACGCUGGCGGUAUGCCUUACCAUGUAAGUCGUACGAGAGUUUGUUAACUCAAGUGGCGGGACGGGUGAGUAACACGUAAGAAUUUGCCUUUAGGAGGGGGAUAACAAACUGGAACAGGUUGCUAAUACCCAUAUGCUUUCGAGUCAAAUGGAUUUUCGCCUAAAGAGAAGCUUGCGGCUGAUAGUCGUGUUGGUGCGGGUAAGGGCUCACCACAGGCGACGAUCAGUAUCUGGUUUUGAGAGGAUGAUCAGACACACUGGAACUGAGACACGGUCCCAGACUCCUACGGGAGGCAAGCAGUGGGAAUUUUCCGCAAUGGGCGGAAAGCCUGACGGAAGCAAUACCGUCGUGAGGGAUGACGGGCCUAUGGGUUUGUAAACCUCUUUUUUCAGGGAGGAAAAAAUGACGUGUACCUGAAGACUAAGCAUCGGCUAACUCCGUGCCAGCAGCCGCGGUAAGACGGAGGGAUGCAAGUGUUAUCCGGGAUCACUGGGCGUAAAGCGGUCCUGUAGGUGGUUUAAUAGUCAACUGUUUAAAUCUGAGGCUCAACUUCAAAAUCGCAGAUCGAAACCUAUUAGACUAGAGUAUAGUAGGGGUAAAGGGGAAUUUCCAGUGGAGGCGUGAACAUGCGUAGAGAUUGGAAAGAACACCCAAUGGCGAAAGCACUUUACUGGGCUAUCACUGACCACUGAGACAGCGAACGCUAGGGUAGCAAAUGGGAUAGAUACCCCAGUAGUCCUAGCCGGUAACCGAUGGAUACUAGAUGGUGACCAGAUCGACCUGUGCCGUCUCAAGCUUAACGGCUUAAGUAUCCCGCCUGGGAAGUAUUCUCGCAAUAGUGUGAAACUCAAACGGAACUUGACGGGGGCCCCGCCAAGCGGUGGAGCCAUGUGUUUUAAUUCGAUUGCACGCGGAAUGAACCUUACCAGGGUUUUGACCAUGAUACGAAUUUUUUGAAAAAAGAAAGUGCCGUUUGGAACGAUACCACAGGUGGUGCAUGGCUGUCGUCACGCUCGUGUUCGUGAGAUGUUGGGUUAAGUCCCGCAACCGAGCGCACCCUUAUUUAGUGGCCUGAUGGACUCUAAAAGACUGCUGGUUAUUAACCGGAGAAGGCGGGAUGCGUCAGUCAUGCUGCCCCUUACACCCUGGCUACACACUGUCUCAAGGGCAAGACAUGAGAUGCAACCCUGCGAAGGUUAGCUAUCUAGAAACUUGUUCUAAGUUCGGAUUGUAGGCUGCAACUCGCCACAUGAAGUUGUAAUCGCUAUAAUCGCUGGUCAUCUACACGGUGCACUCCGUUCCGGCCGUGUACACACCGCCCGUCACACCAUGGAACUGGUUAUGCCCGAAUUCGUUACUUUAACCAUUUGGAGGAGGACGCUACGUAGUGGAUAGUGACUGGGGUU
rnacentral:rRNA from 1 species